UCUGUUUCAUCCGUAUAGGAAUCAUCAGGUGGUCUGAUGAUUGGUGGACCACCUGAUGAUUCCUAUACGGAUGAAACAGA